rnacentral:rRNA from 1 species
AGAAUCAACGCUGGCGGCGUGCCUAACACAUGCAAGUCGCACGAGAAAGGGACUUCGGUCCUGAGUACAGUGGCGCACGGGUGAGUAACACGUGAAUUAUCUACCUCCGAGUGGGGAAUAACUGAGAGAAAUCUUAGCUAAUACCGCAUAACACUUACGAGUCAAAGCAGCAAUGCGCUUGGAGAGGAGUUCGCGGCAGAUUAGUUAGUUGGCGGGUAAUGGCCCACCAAGACGAUGAUCUGUA